rnacentral:misc_RNA from 1 species
AGCAACUGCUCUAGCUACUUCCGGAUUAUCAGUAAAUAUGUAGGCAAGAUGGCCGCGUAACAUUAGGAAUCCAACAAACAAUACCAAACCGAUACUCAAUGAUGUGGAUGUCGCCACAAUUAUAGAAAAUUUUGCAGCUCUUGCACUCCCGGCUCCAAGCUCAUUUGCCACCCGAACACCUGCUGCAGCCAAGAAACCCAG